UACGGAGGGUGCGAGCGUUAAUCGGAAUUACUGGGCGUAAAGCGCGCGUAGGCGGUUUGUUAAGCCAGAUGUGAAAAGCCCCCGGGCGUCAACCUGGGAACGUGCAUUUUGGUUACGUGGCGAGGCGUAGAGUACAGUAGAGGGUGGUGGAAUUUCCAGUGUAGCGGUGAAAUGCGUAGAGAUUGGAAGGAACAUCAGUGGCGAAGGCGGCCACCUGGACUGAUACUGACGCUGAGGUGCG
rnacentral:rRNA from 1 species